UGAUCAAAAUUAAAGCGAGAGCACCGUGCUCAUAGACCGCCAACCUCUGCCAACACUAGUUUCCAAUUCCACAAAUUUUUACCUUAGAAAAAAAUGUUCAAGGUCAAAGUCCU